UAUUGACACUCAUACCUAUAUUCUUCUAUAUCUAUUUAUAAAUACUUAAAACAAGCAACUAACCUGAGAAUUUCAAAAUAAAUGAUUAGACUUUGCAUCUACUAUGUCAAGAAUUAAGAGUAUAUCAACUCUAAGGACUAUGAUUAUUAUUGACACUCAUACAUAGAUUUUUCUAUAUCUAUUUCUAAAUUCCUAAAACAAUCAACUAACAUGAGAAUUUCAAAAGAAAUGAUUAGACUUUGCAUCAACUAUGUAGAGAAUUAAGAGUAUAUCAACUCUAAGGACUAUAAUAGAAGUGUAGCAACAAAUACAUCCCAAAAAAUGUAAGAAUAUUGAUUUACUCAUAGACCUCCAUAUUGAUUUACUCAUAGACCUCCAAAUUUUGAGUUACAAUACAUGAAAGCAUGGACAUCACCAUCUCCUCAUACUAUUUUUUUUUUCUUCUCAACACAAAUUGAUGAGAUUAAAAACAAUAAAAAUUGUAAAUCUGAAGGUUUUUUACAUUAAACAAAUUCAUUCACUUGGUCUAUUAAUUGAGACNNNNNNNNNNNNNNNNNNNGUUUUUUUUUACACACAGAAGAGAAAUUACACAAAAAAAAAAAACUAAUUUAACAGUGCACCUUGCAUCUGCCUCCACCAACACCCUUAACCUGAAAUUCAAAAUAGAAAAAGAAUUAGAAGAGGGAUAGAUCUAAAAGGAAACAAAAAAAAAAGGAAGAUAAUUACCCUUUUUUUAACACUGUUUGUUGUGUUUUUUGCACCUUUAUUGU
rnacentral:lncRNA from 1 species